UGUUGCUCCAGUCACGAAGGGCUCUGGCGGGGCCACCUCCUCUUCCAGUCCAUAUUUGUGGGUCACCAUAAUGCUGAGUGGUGAAAAGCACAUACCCUGCAGGCACCGGGUUCACAGGUGUGACUGAUGUGACUCUGGGGGAGCUGCAGACUGUGGUUGUGGAGCCAGUAGAAACAACUUGAGCAGCCAUCAUAUUGAAGAAGACAAUAAGGAAGAUCCAGAGCUGACUGACCCAUGUGGACUUAAGGAUGAUGAACUCAAGGCUACACUGUUCAAAUAUUUAGUCGAAGCUAGACCCAUUGUAGCCACCACCAGGUCUAUCUAUGAGAGGAAGCUAAAAGGCUAAUAGAACCUACCCAGCCCAGACAGAAUGGUGGCACAGGAUAUGCAAACCAGUACUAUGACAGUGAAGAAGAGGAGGAAGAGUGGGGUUCAGAACAAGGAAGACCAGAGCAGUGGAGGAAUAUCAGCAUGCUAAUGAUCAGGGUCACCCGUCGGAGGCCUUUCAAGGGUGCAGCGGGGCAACCAGUCCAGUUUAAAUUCCCAGAUCUCCCUGCCAGUCUUAUGACCCUACAGAGACGGGCAUUGGAGUGCCGCCUGGUGCCUCUGUUGGUCUAGAUCCUGGUCUUCCUCAUCUUGACUUGCCUCUUCUACCUCAUCUACGCUGCCAUGGAAUACAGCUUGGACCAACCCUUUGUGGCCUUGCUGGACAACCUCAGUAUGGGGACGGAGACUGAGGGACUGUCACUCCAGGCUGACCCCUAGGACUCAUCUGUACACCCUCUCUAGGGAGUAGUAACUCCCCUGCUCUAGCUAUGUGUUCUGAUUCUCCACCCUUCUCUUAAAGGGAGAAAUAUUUUCUUGCAUGGAUUCAAUAAUGGAUCAAACUUAAUCCAGCCAAUGCUUAUACCAAUCCUAAAGUUUCAAAUCCAUGAUGAGAAGUAGUGCACACUUCGGGAAAAAGAUGGACAUUCGGAAUACUCCACAAAUUGUUUCAGUUUUUGUGAGGCUAUUCAUUUGGUCACCGUAAUUCACCUUUACUCUCUGGAUUAUGUCACUCUUAACCAAGCAAGAUAGCCACAUUAGUGACUCAACCCACUCAAGUGAUGCACCCCUCCUAGGGAUGGUAUGAAAGAGCCCCAGUAAGCCAGUGACUCAAAUACAAUGAGUGUACAAAACAUUCCUUAUUUUGAGAUGUGCUCCUUUUGCCCUCAGAACAGCCUCAAUCCAUCGGGGCAUGGUCUCUACAAGGUGUCGAAAGCAUUCCACAGGGAUGCAGGCCCAUGUUGAUUCAAAUGCUUCCCACAGUUGUGUCAAGUUGGCUGGGUAUACACGUGAAACUGUUGAUCGUGAAAACCCCAGCAGCAUUGCAGUUCUUGACACAAACCGGUGCAUCUGGCAUCUACUACCAUACCCCGUUCAAAGGCACUUACAUUUUUUGUCUUUCCCAUUCACACUCUAAAUAGCGCACGUACACAAUCCAUGUUUCAAUUAUUUCAAGGCUUAAGCAUCCUUCUUUAUCCUCCUCCCCUUCAUCUACACUGAAGUGGAUUUCACAAGUGAUAUUAAUAAGGGAUCAUAGUUUUAACCUGGUCAGUCUGUCAAGGAAAGAAUGUUUUGUACACUCAUUGUGUUUUUAUCUAUUCGAUGAUGGGAUCAACUUCUAUUGUGUGAUAUUCCAUUUUAUACUUAAUACUCAAUAUUUUGGUCUGCCCUGCAAUUUAAUUUACUGUAGAAUCAAAGUUGAGGUUUUUUGGCUUGUCAUAGAUUGUGCAGAGAUACAUUUGCUGUAACAUACAGCCCUAUGUGCGAUUUAAUAGAUUAAUUAUAUAAUGUUGCUAAUUUAAUUAUUUUCCUGUUUUUAUUGUGUUUUCAUAAAACAAUACUUCAUAGCGGAAUUAACAUCCUCCUAGCUGACUUAAAAGAGGGAUUCUACAUGCCCCUUCCUCCAACAGAAGCCAUAUCUCUCCACAGUGAAGGCAAAUAUGCACUUCAUGAACAGGUUGUUUUUACAUUUUUUUGCAGCUGAAAGAAUUAUAUUAAUGUUCAAAUGUAUUCUUGUUUAUUGUUGUAUAAAAUAUUGUCCCUCGAUCAUUUCUUACCAUUGGGCGUACCAGAGGUGAUAUGUGGU